GACGAACGCUGGCGGCGUGCUUAACACAUGCAAGUCGAACGAAGUGGCGAACGGGUGAGUAAUACGUGGGUACCCUGCCCUACUUUUUGGGAUAAGCCUUGGAAACGGGGUCUAAUACCGAAUAAAGGGGGAUGGGCUCGCGGCCUAUCAGCUUGUUGGGGGGGUGAUGGCCUACCAUGGCGGGGACGGGUAGCCGGCCUGAGAGGGUGACUGGGAACAUUGGGAGUCGGAUACGGCCAAGAGAGCUACGGGAGGCAGCAGGGGGGGAUAGUGCACAAGGCGGGACAGCCGGAUGCAGGGACGCCGCGUGGGGGAGGAAGGCGUACGGCUUGGAAACCUCUGUCGCACACGAACGGGUAGGUGGAGAAGAAGCGCCGGCUAACUACGUGCCAGCAGCCGCGGUAAUAC
rnacentral:rRNA from 1 species